AGCCUGACACAGUGGCAGUAUUGCUGCCAACGAGGUUAAUCCGAGGCACAGUUAUUGCUAAUUGAAAACUUUUCCUAAUACCCCACAAUGACGACUAGAAAUAUAGUUGGCAUUGGCAAUUUUGCUUUGCAAAAAG